rnacentral:lncRNA from 1 species
UGUCAGUUCAUAUUGUAAAAGCUUUGAUUGGUUGGAGGACGUCCUCCAGAAGUGGUCAUAAUUACCAUGUAGGUCUAUGGAAGGGGAUAAGGCCUACAAGCCUCCUAGGUUUUUUAUUGACGUCAAUAGCUGUCCUCCGACUACACCAUUGUGCUAGCCUAGAGUGUGUUGUUGAGACUACUGUAGACCUUCAUUGCAAAACAGUGUGUUUUACUCAGGUAUUUGGUUACGUGAAUAUAUUUAGUAUAGUUUUAUCUAAAAAUGAGAACGUUUUUAAUGUUUAAUUUUUAUUUUUUUUAUUCUGAGGAGUCUCCACUGAUGCUUACAUGUUCUGAUUUAGAGUGACCAUUCUCCUAUCACAGUAGCUUUUAUCAUCUCUCUUGGGUAAUUAUUUAUAACCUGUUCAGGUUAUUGAUAGUUAGUUAGCAUUAGAGUACAGGUACUUUAUGUAGAGAUACAGAAAUUGCUGUUUGAACAGGUCGUAUGGUUUCCGUUUACUCUAUGAACUAAUCCAAAACCACAGUUUCCUCAGAGAAGGUCCCGCACACUUUUAGAACUGGUGUUUGUCCUGACCAUGUGACCUAACCAGGAGAAACUCCUAGCCCUAAUUUAUGCCUCAUAAUUAAUUUCCCUCUCAGAUGACUUUGACUGACAUAAAGUCAUCCCUCAAAAUGUCCCCAUAACGCAGAACACGUUGAGCUGUGGUCAUUAAACAACGUGUUUGACAUGUGCAAGGUCAAAUUUGAAUGAAUGGUGUGUUAGUGUGUGCGGUACGACAAUUAUUGUAUAAAACUUCUGGUAAACUACAGCCACUCGUAUCUGAUGAUGAGGAAGGACUAUUUAUUAGGCUGCCUACUGUUCUCAGUGCAAUUAUACAUGAGCAUUUGAACAUGUGACUCAUGAUGUGGGAAUGACAAGAACUGUGAGUAUCAAGGUUACAGGUGAUUCCUGGCCAAUCAUACAUAACACUGAUUUGCAUAGGGGGGAGUCAUGAAUACGUUUAGUGAAGGAAAUGCUGUAAUGCUGACAUACUGCUGAAUGGUGCUGACACAGAAUUAGCGACAGACGAGUGUGAAAGUACCAGAGCCGUAUUAAAUACGGGGCUAUUUCUUUAGACCUAGCAUGGGAUCUAUAUGGUGGCAGCCUUGGAGUGCUGCUGUGUGCAUUUUCCUCUGGGUGCUCUGGGCCUGGUGUGGUGUAGGACUUUAACCAUGUGGAGCACUGUAAUGACUCUCUACAUGCUCAACCCACCACGGGGCUACCUGGGGGGCAGCAACCUGAAGAAGAUAUGCCAGCGCCUGGAGGACAAUCCCUGAUUUGUCACCCUCUAUGACUCCCGCAGACACAUGCCCCUCUAAUCUGCCUACUCCUUCAAAUGGUCUGACGGGGAGAAAUGCAAGGAUCAGCCCUGAGUUCUCUCUCUGCCUCUCUUCCUCCCUCUAGCUGGCCUCCAGUAAAACCAGUAGUAAUAUGGAGCCCUUCCCCCAGUCUGCCUAGAUGCACAUGCAUCUCAUGGACAGUCAGGCGGUGCUGGAUGACUUUGCAGAUGUGACCCAGAACAAGAGAGGCCACCUGAACCCAGACCAGCACCAGACUGAGCCCUUGGAAAAGGCAGCCACCUACACCCUGACCAACGUAGUGCCUUAGAUCCGAGAGUUCAACACCGGCCCCUGGGCCCAACACGAGGACCGCAUCAGACAAGGCCUCAAUAACUACUGCCGUGGCAACGCCUAUGUCAACACAGAAGUCACCUCGGCUGGGAACAUGAUCCGACGGGACAACCAGGACUGUGUGGGCAUACCAGAGUACAUGUGUACGGCCUACUGCUGUCCAGACUAUUACCACAAUGCCCCCUACCUAGAGCUCUACCGCCUCCCCGUGCCUAUCAAGACCCUAGAGAAGUUUCUGAAGGGACGGAUGGACGUGGACAAGAACUACCAGAUAUUCUACAAUGAAAGUGUGCCUGAUGACAUGUAGCCAUACUAGAAAAUAUUUUGUCUCUAGCUAAAUGAUGAAAGACAUAAAAGCAAGGUUGUAGUAUUGUGGUGUGGAUGCAUUUAUUCAUACAUACACUAGAGGGCGCUUCUGUCAAACGUCUGUGGUCAAAUGUUUCUUAAUGUUUCUUUAAUCUGCUUUGAAGCGACCUUUUUAAGGUUAUGUGAUUGUGAAGAAACUCAAAAGACUGAUGCAACAAUGUAAUUUCAUUUGUGUUGAUUGACAAAGAGCCGGGAGGGAGAAUCGUGCUGUGCUUGGUGUAACAUUCAUCUAUUACAUCCAGGGAGAAUGACUGCACCUCACAAGUUGACCGACCGCGGUACUGCAGGUAUUAUUUCCAGAAAACAGGAUACCCAUUAUACAGAAUUGGGAAAUGGCGAUCUCCGCGGUCAAUAUUCAUGGUAUACAGUGCAUUCGGAAAGUAUUCAGACCCAUUGACUUUUUCCAUAUUUUGUAAUGUUACAG